CACAGCAGCCGAAUGCUCCAUCGAGGCUUUCGGCUUCGUAGCUCAACAGUCGGACUAAACCAUUUGGACAGAAUUUUGAGCACCUUUUGCCACGGAAACGACUAUUGAAUUCAAGAGCAGGUUUGUUAGAUUUAAAAUGUUCUGGUUGCAAUGCACCACAAAGAACAAAAUAAACUAUUUUUUUUAAACACUGCUGACAUUAUAAUACUACAGUUGCUGCAUUAAGAGGAUCCAUGUGACAGCGGGUGUCUUUUAUUUUGAAAGGAAUGAAAAAGCUUGAAAAACCAUAGUUAAUUUAUGUACAUAUGUUAUGAGUUACAAUAACGAAAACAAAUCAGUGUCUUAUUUUUCUAAUGGGUGACAUCAGACUUUGUGGCUUCAGCUGAAAGUGACAUUUUGACCCGAAUGGCUCUUUAGGUGUUGGAGGUUGCAGACCCCUGGGCCACAUUUUCUUCUCAGAGCAAAACUUUUCCCUAAAGUUGCUUUAUUUUUUUAAUUCAGAGUUCAUAAAUGAACUAAUUCAGACGUAGGACAUCCUGCCAAGAAUAAUAAUAAUACAUUUUAUUUAGAAUGCGCUUUACAUUCUAGGUAAAAUCUCAAAGCGCUACAAUGAAGGCAGGAAUAACAAUGGUUUAAAAUAAGAACAAAGUAAGACAAAAACAACAACAAUAAAAGUACUAAAAAGCAUUAUUAAAAAGGAAAGUUUUUAAGCCUUUUUUUUAAUGUGCCAAGGCUUUUUGGGGCUCUGAGGGAUUCUGGAAGAUUGUUCCAGAAUGGAGGGGCAGCAGCCUGAAAGGCUCUGUCUCCCAUUGUGGUUAGCCUGGUCCUUGGCUGAUGAAGGUAAUGUGUGAAAUUUGAGAGGAGGAGUUGUGAAGUGGCGUGCGGGGAAAGGAGCGCACUGAGCUAUGCAGGGGCAGUUCCAUGGACGCAUUGGUAGGUGAGGAGACAGAGUUUGUGUUGAAUUCUGGAACGGAUGGGUAACCAGUGAAGUGACUGAAGAACAGGAGUGAUGUGGUCAAAUUUGUGUCUCCUUGUCAGGAUCCUAGCAGCGCAGUUUCGGAUGUGCUGGAGCUUUUCCAGGCUCCUGCCAGGAAUCCCAACAAGGAGAGCAUUGCAGUGAUCCAGUCUGGAGGAGAUAAAUGCAUGGAUCAGUUUUUCUGCAUCAGACUGGCUGACCUGCUCUGCGCAGCGUCCGUCCUCUGGAGGGCGCUGUGAACCGCCAGGCGGAGCCUCUCCAGGAACAAGGACACACUGGGUUGUCUGGAAGGCGCGGUUGUUUCGGAGGCAGGCCUGCAGCACGCCCUCGUACUUCUUCACCACGCCGUCCCAGCCCGACUCCAAGCCCGCUGUG